GAUGAACGCUGACAGAAUGCUUAACACAUGCAAGUCGAUGGGGAAGUGGUGCUUGCACCAUGGUAACCAUGGCGGACGGGUGAGUAACGCGUAAGGAACUUACCUGCGGGACCGGGAUAACAGUAGGAAACUGCUGACAAGACCGGAUAAGGUAAUUAAGCUGCAUAGCUUAGUGAUGAAAGGAGACGCCUUCGGAGAGCCUUGCGUCCUAUUAGCUAGUUGUUGGGGUAACGGCCCACCAAGGCCUAGAUAGCUGGCCGGCCUGAGAGGGUGGACGGCCACGACGCGAAUGGGAGGCAGCAGUGGGGACUACUGGAGGAAGGAGGGAAGAAUAAUGGAGAAAGGCGGCAACAGUGAUGAAGGAAUUCGGUGUGCACAAAGAUGGUUUUCGGAAUGAAAAGUGGUUUCAGCAGGGAAGAAGGAAGUGACGGUACCUGAAGAAGAAGCAACGGCUAAAUACGUG
rnacentral:rRNA from 1 species